rnacentral:rRNA from 1 species
UACGUAGGGUGCAAGCGUUAAUCGGAAUUACUGGGCGUAAAGCGUGCGCAGGCGGUGAUGUAAGACAGAUGUGAAAUCCCCGGGCUCAACCUGGGAACUGCAUUUGUGACUGCAUCGCUGGAGUACGGCAGAGGGGGAUGGAAUUCCGCGUGUAGCAGUGAAAUGCGUAGAUAUGCGGAGGAACACCGAUGGCGAAGGCAAUCCCCUGGGCCUGUACUGACGCUCAUGCACGAAAGCGUGGGGAGCAA